AAGAUAGAAAUGAAUAUCACUUAUAUCAAAUGCAUAAGGGGAAAUAACUCUCAUAUGGAGCGUUCAUAUCGCUUCGGUCAAAAUAGGACAAAUCAGGCGAAGGAUAUAACGAGCAAUUUUGUAAAAUAAAUUUGUCAUAAUAUUUUACCGUUGCGAAGGAGUUGCGCUAACAAGGAAAACAGUGUUUGGGGAGAUAACUCCUACAAAGAAAAGUAUUCGUUUACGCAGGGUAAAUUUCAAAAGCGCAUAAACUGUUCGAUAUCAUAUACCAAAUAUCUAAGCGACAUAUUGCGAAACAAAUGUUUAUCGCAAGAACAAAAUUAGGCGGAAGAAAAAAAAAAUAAUCAGAAGAAAAACAAUAGGUCUUUCCACAGAAAAGUGGAAAGACCUAAUAAUAAUAAUCAGAAGAAA
rnacentral:lncRNA from 1 species